rnacentral:piRNA from 2 species
UUUUGAUUCCAGAUGUGUUCCCAAAU